rnacentral:rRNA from 1 species
UACGUAGGGUGCGAGCGUUGUCCGGAAUUAUUGGGCGUAAAGAGCUCGUAGGCGGUGUGUCACGUCGGCCGUGAAAACCUGGGGCUUAACUCUGGGCGUGCGGUCGAUACGGGCAUCACUAGAGUUCGGCAGGGGAGACUGGAAUUCCUGGUGUAGCGGUGAAAUGCGCAGAUAUCAGGAGGAACACCGGUGGCGAAGGCGGGUCUCUGGGCCGAUACUGACGCUGAGACACGAAGGCCAGGGGAGCAAACGGG